AUUGAACGCUGGCGGCAGGCCUAACACAUGCAAGUCGAGCGGAUGAAGGGAGCUUGCUCCUGGAUUCAGCGGCGGACGGGUGAGUAAUGCCUAGGAAUCUGCCUGGUAGUGGGGGAUAACGUCCGGAAACGGGCGCUAAUACCGCAUACGUCCUGAGGGAGAAAGUGGGGGAUCUUCGGACCUCACGCUAUCAGAUGAGCCUAGGUCGGAUUAGCUAGUUGGUGGGGUAAAGGCCUACCAAGGCGACGAUCCGUAACUGGUCUGAGAGGAUGAUCAGUCACACUGGAACUGAGAAACGGUCCAGAACCCUACGGGAGGCAGCAGUGGGGAAUAUUGGACAAUGGGCGAAAGCCUGGUCCAGCCAUGCCGGGUGUGUGAAGAAGGUCUUCGGAUUGUAAAGCACUUUAAGUUGGGAGGAAGGGGAGUAAGUUAAAACCUUGCUGUUUUGACGUUACCAAAAGAAUAAGCACCGGCUAACUUCGUG
rnacentral:rRNA from 1 species